UAUGUACUAAAAUGACGAUGUUAGUCACAAGCUUACGGUACAUUUUCUCGAGGUGUUGUGUUGUUUUGUGGAGGGAUAUCUAUGCAGGCAGGCCGGUCUCCUUCUGGCCAUGUGACACUGGGAACAAAGCAUGCCAAAGUUGAGGAGAUAAAAUCUGAAUUCCAUUAGCAAUACAAAAAGCUUCGUUUCCUCACAACCUAAUGAUUCUUAGCUUUGCAAGUACAGUAAUUAAGAUUUUGGCUGAAGUCAUAUUUGGAGAACAAAGCAAAGGGAUGCCGUGCAAGAUGAAUCCUCAUUCAUACCAACUAAGCCUAAAGGACACAGCCUUGAAAAGAGUCCUCAGUGCAACCACCUCAGCAGCUCAGACAGCCUUCUUUGAAUAACUGCAGCAUCUUCCUCUGUUAGAAUGGAAUGCAGACUCAAUAGCUUGAACAUCCACUCACAGAAUGCUUGUCAAAACUAUCUAAAAUGGAGCUGUGGCUGGCAGACAAAUCUUUACCUUUUUGGGGAGAACAAGCCAAAUAAAUCUCACCUAUGUCUAAAGGGGAAACAAAGGUGGACCUUCUAAUCUGAUACAUUUCCAAAGCAAUAUCAUGUAAUUAAUAGCUCCUCUACUGUGCCUUAUUGUAGGACUUUAUCAUACUAGCCUGCUGUCCUGCUACAAACACACUAGUUUAACAAUGGAAGUAUACUGGUUUGGCAUCAUUUCUCAUCACAUUCACACAGCAGCCUUGUGCAGGGGGGCACAACAAACAGUCCCAGCUGCCAACAGCCUCAAAAAUGUGUGCACAACAGCAGGUUUUGGGAAGCUGUUGGUGGCACAAUUGCGGUGGGGGGGGGGCAGAAUUAUACUCACUCACACCAUGUGACUGCCUGAGAAGUGGAACUGCAGCAGAAGGGACCUAUUGUGCAAAGACAGUAAAUGAAUAGCAGCGAGACUGAGAGCCUAUUGACAGGUUUUGCCCAACAACAAAAAGAUGCACUAAAGGAUGGAAUGCAAAGUGGCAGCAGAAUGGACAUGAUGUUGUGUGCUAAAUACCAGGAAAAUAUACUUUUGUCCUGUUAAAAUUUCACUUUUUAGAUUCAUGUGAUAAACUGGUAGUCACCUAAUGCAACAGUUCAGCAUAGUGGCAUAUGUUCCAUGAACAUACUGCAUAUCCUCGAUUAUAAGUCGACCUAAUGUAUAACUCAAGGUCAGGUUUUGAGCCCAAUUUUAUGGAUUUUGAUAUGACUCAUGGAUAAGUCAAGGGUAAAACUUAGGGGCAUGCAACAAAAGGAUGUAAAGCAUGAAGCAAAGGAAACCGAUGCCAAAGAACUUAGAAUUUUGGCAGGCAUUCUGUUCAUGCUCACCCUAAAGGCCUAAUGGAUGAGAGAGUGAGUGGGUGGGUGUCAGUGCUUCCUUUAGGUGCUCCCAGCUUUUGCCUUUUAUCACACUACUCAGAGAAUGGAAUGGUUCCUUUUUUUAAAAAAAAUAAGAAUUAAAGUACAGUACUUACAUAUGUAUAUAUUUAUAUACAGGUACUUAUGUAAUUAUAUACACUGACCUGUAGAUAAGUCAAUCCAGUUUUUUUGGGUCAGUUUUUUUGACUAAAAUUUCUAGACUAAUACAUGAGCAUAUUCAGUAAUUCUGGCCUGGCUACAUAUCACUCAUCCAAACUGAGAAGGCACCUUGUAAUAGAAAUGUAUCACACAGAGUUGCUUUAACAUCAUGGCAAUAUAUUCCUCCACAGAAGCAAAGAGAACGAAGAAGUAUGAAAAGAUACAAAGAGCAAAAUGAAGAAAAACUCUCUUCUGAGUUUCUUCAGCAUCUUAGUACAAAUGGAACUGAGAGAAGGAAACUUGCAGGGGAGCAGUCAGAACAGAUUUAUCUGAGAGACAAGGAGUCAUCUGGGAUAGAUCACCUUUCCCCAACAAAAUCCAGCAUUCAUACAAGAUGUAAUUUGAAUAGAAAACCUGGAAACUAUUUUUCAUGGGGAACAAUCAUAAAAAGGCAAUCUAUUGGGAAGUCAAUCCAAUCUGGGGAAAUUACUAAUUUGGAUGCUAACACUACAAGUGCAAGUAUCAGACUGUGCAUUCUUCUGUCUGCACAACUAGACAGGUUAUUAUUGUGUGUGAUAAAAAAAGGACUACUGUAAUCAUAUUCUUGGCAAGCAGAAUUGAGAGAAUAUUAUGCAGCACCUUGUGAAAGAGUAGAUGAUCUAAUUGAUUUUAUUCUGACAAUGUAACUUGAAAUAAAAAUAGGAGGAAUCCAUAAAAUGAUGCCUAGAAAUGCUAUGUUGAGUACCUAAUAGGAGAAGAGACUUUAAUCUUCUACUCACCUGACAAAGAUGAAAUUUUUGUACCAAAGAUUUGACAAGGAAUCAUCCAGUUUCAAAUAAUGGGUUAAAACCACAUUAUUUCAGUACUUUUGACAGGGAUAAAGAAAAUGAACACAGCUAAUAAUGGCAAAAAAUAAAAUCCUAUUUGCUCCAUUGUUCUCUUUUCAUUUUAAAACAAAAAUGUAAAAAGGAGUGACAGAAAACAGAAACUCACAGGAAAAUAAAUAGCUUUAGUUAUGAAAUUAAAAAACAGUAUUUGUUAAACCAAUGUGGAGUUUUACGCUCCUAUUUAUAUGGUGUUUGGUGAACUACCUUGCUGGAUUGUUUAGAUUUUAUACCUGUUGCCAUUUCUCCUAUAUGAUUCUUUAGAAAAAAAACCAUACA